GGGCAACAAAGUGAGACUCCGUCCCAAAAAAAUAAAAUAAAAAUAAAUAAAUAAAUCUUUACACUAUUUGUGGUUUAUAUUCUAGGGCUUUUUCACUCAUUCCCUAGGCAUGUGGGACCUCGAAGAUGCCGAAUCAGCUAAACGGGAGGUGGCUUGAGUAGGAUUUGCUGCCAGCUAAAGCGUGAGAUGCUAUUGCAUGUGCAAGGCAAGGCUUUCUUCAGCGGCAUCAUCUUCCAAAAUAGCCCAGUGAGCAUGCCUUUCUCCUGAAAAAUAAAAAAUAGUUGGUGUUUACUGCAAUCGUAUGGCAAAUACUGUGUUGAGAGAUUAAUUUACAUGAACUCAUAGAACCCUCAGGGCAAGUUUAUGAGGUAUUUACCAUCUAUGCUCUGCAGUAUUUAUUUAUUUAUUUAUUUAUUUAUUUAUUUAUUUAUUUGAGAUGGAGUCUCACUCUGUUUUCCAGGUGGAGUGCAGUGGUGCAAUCUCGGCUCACUGCAACCUCUGCCUCCCAGGUUGAAGUGAUUCUCCUACCUCAGCCACCCGAGUAGCUGGGAUUGCAGGCAUGUGCCACCAUGCCUGGCUAAUUUUUGUGUUUUUGGUAGAGAUGGGAGUUUCACCAUGUUGGCCAGACUGGUCUCGAACUCCUGACCUAAGGUGAUCCACCUUCCUCAGCCUCCCAAAGUGCUGGGAUUACAGGCGUGAGCCACCGUGCCUGGCUGCAGUAAACAUUCAGAAAUAUGAAGUAACUUGCCCGAGUUCAUAUGGUCGGUCUUGGGUAGAGGUGGAUUUUAUCUGUCAGCUGUCUGACUCUGAAGGGAUUCUGAUUCUGGAAAGUGUGGCAUGCAACCUGAGAGACUUAAUUUCUUUCUGGAAGAUUCCCUUAAGUUAUUCUGAUGCAGACCCAGGCCUGAGAACCACAGCCUCUCUGCCCACCACAUGAUGUCACCAUCCAUAAAACAUCUGCUCUCCAGCCUAAAUUUGCUCUCAGCUGAAAAGUAUUCUGUGCCCAUCACAUGUGAAGCCUGAAGCACGAUGCUGGCGCAGUGGACCCAACAAGAGCACCUUCCUCUCCCCGCCUUGCCCCUUGGAGACGAGGCUCAAGGCUCCAGGCUGAAGAAUCAAGUUGAUCAUCACAACAGCAGUAGCCUCCUAAGCACUCUCUGCAGCUCCACCCCAACUUCCCCUCCAGGCUCUUCUCUUCACAGUGCCAUUCAUGCCACUGAUCUUUGUUGAGUUCCCACUAUAUGCCAGAUACGUCAGGACACAUUACUGCAAACAGACAGAAACCUUGGUCUUCAUGGAGGUAACAGCUUAGGGGUUUGGGAGGGGUCAGUAAAAAAAAGAUAAACAAGACAGUAAGUUAAAUAUAGAGAAAGGCAAAUGAUGAUAAGCUGUUAAGAAAGAAGGAUAGGGCCGGGUGCAGUGGCUCCUGCCUGUAAUUCCAAUGCUUUGGUAGGGCAAACUGGGAGAAUCGCUUGAGGCCUGGAGCUCAAGAGCAGCCUGGACAACAUAGCAAGACUCCAUUUCUUAAAAAAAAAAUUUUUUUUUUUGAGACAGAGUUUCGCUUUUGUUGCCCAGGCUGGAGUGCAAUGGUAUGAUCUGGACUCACUGCAACCUCUGCCUCCCCAGUUCAAGCGAUUCUCCUGUCUCAGCCUCCCUAGUAGCUGGUAUUACAGGUGCAUGCCACUAUACCCGGCUAAUUUUUGUAUUUUUAGUAGAGACGGGGUUUCAUCAUAUUGAUCAGGCUGGUCUCGAACUCCUGACCUCAGGUGAUCCACCGCCUUGGCCUUCCAAAUUGCUGGGAUUACAGGCCUGAGCCACUGAGCUCGGCCACAAAAAAAAAGAAAAAAAAAUUAACAAAUUAGCCAGACAUGUUGGCGCCCAGUUGUACUCUCAGCUACUUCAGGGGCAGGCUAAGGCAGGAGAAUCCCUUGAGCCCAGGAGUUCGAGGCAGCAGUGAGCUAGGAAUGUGCCACUGCACUCCAGCCUGGAUGACAGAGUGAGACAGAGAGAGGAAAGAAGAAGGAAGGAAGGAAGGAAGGAAGGAAGGAAGGAAGGAAGGAAGGAAGGAAGGAAGGAAAGAAGGAAGGAAGAGAAAGAAAGAGAGAAAGAAAGAAAAGAAAGGAAAGGCCGGCCACAGAAAGAAAAGAGAAAGAAGAGAAGAGUAAAGAAAAGAAAUGAAAUGAAAAGGAAGAAAAGAAAAGGCGAGGUACAGUGCCUCAUACCUGCAAUUUAAGCACUUUGGUAGGCUGAGACAGGAAGAUUGCUUGAGGCUAGGAGUUUGAGACCAGCCUGGGCAAUGUACCAAGACCUUGUCUCUACAAAAAUUUUUAAAAAGUUAUCCAGGCUUGAUGGCACAUGCCUGUGGUCCCAGCCACUCGGGAGGCUGAGGUGGAAGGAUCACCUGAGCCCAGGAGGUUGAGUCUGCAGUGAGCCAUGAUCAUGCUAUUGCCCUCUAGCUUGGGCAACAGAGCAAGACCCUGUCUCAAAAACAAAAAAAAAAAAGAAGAAGAAGAGGAAGAAGAAGAAGAAAAAGAGGAAGAAGAAGAAGAAAAAGAGGAAGAAGAAGAAGGAGGAGGAGGAAAGGAAGGAAAGGAAGGAAAGGAAAGGAAAGGAAAGGAAAGGAAAGGAAAGGAAAGGGAAAAGGGAUAGGUUGAAUAGGGAUUGUGUGUGUGUUUGUAAUUUUUGAGAGCAUGGCCAGGGAAGUACUCCCUAAGGCAGGGGGUCAACUAAUUACGGACUGAGGCCAAAUCCAGCCUAUUGCCUGUUUAUGUACAAUGGCAAGCUAAGAAUUGUCUUACAUUUUUAAAUAGUUGAAAAAAGUCAAAGGAAGAAUGUUUUCUGACACCUGAAAGUAACUUAUGUGACAUUCUAUCUCAGUGCCCACAGUGAAGUUUCUUUUUUUUUUUUUUUUCUUUUUUUUUACCCUGAGUCCCGAUCUGUUGCCCAGACUGGAGUUCAAUGGCAUGAUCUCGGCUCACUGCAACCUCUGCCUCCUGGGCUCAAGCAAUUCUCCUGCCUCAGCCUCCCGGGUAGCUGGGAUUACAGGGGUGUGCCACCACGCCCGGCUAAUUUUUAUUUUUAGUAGAGAUGGGGUUUCACCAUGUUGGCCAGGCUGGUCUUGAACUCCUGACCUCAGGUAAUCCACCUGCCUCAGCCUCCCAAAGUGCCGGGAUUACAGGCGUGAGCUACCGUGCCCGGUAUCAAUGAAGUUUUAUUGGAACACAGCUAUGCUCAUUGGUUUACUUACUGUCUGUGGUUGCUUUUGCCUGACAAAGGCAGAGUUGAGUAUCUGCCACAGAGACCCUGUGGCCCACAGAACCUAAAAUAUCCACCCUCUGGUUUGUUUGUUUGUUUGUUUGUUUGUUUGAGAGGGAGUUUCGCUCCUGUUGCCCAGGCUGGAGCGCAAUGGUGCGAUCUUGGCUCACUGCAACCUCUACCUCUCAAGUUCAAGCGAUUCUCCUGCCUCGGCCUCCUGAGUAGCUGGGAUUACAGGCAUGUGCCACCAGGCCUGGCUAAUUUUUUGUAUUUUUAGUAGAGAAGAGGUUUCACCGUGUUAGCCAGGAUGGUCUUGAUCUCCCGACCUCAGGUGAUCCGCCCUCCUUGGCCUCCCAAAGUGCUGGGAUUAUAGGCAUGAGCCACCACGCCCAGCCUACUCUCUGGUUUUUAACCAUUCGCUGACUCCUGCCCUAAGAUGUCAUUUGAAGAGACACCUGAGGCAGGUGAGGGAGCCAGUCAUGCAUUUAUCUGGGGGAAUAUUCUAGCAGAUGUCACAGCAAAUGCAAAGACCCUGAAAUAGGAUGUCUGCUGUGUUCUUGGCAAGGCAUGAAACUCACUAUGACUGGAGCAGAGUGGAUGAGGUCAGAAAGCAAGGAUGGACCAGAUCACGCACAGUCUUUGCUCCUAGCCUGAGGCAGAUGGGAGCCAUGGCAGGUGUGUGUGUGUGUGUGUGUGUGUGUGUGUGUGUGUGUGUGUGUGUGAGAGAGAGAGAUAGGGUUUUGCUCUGUCAUCCAGGCUGGAGCACAGUGGUGCAAUCAUAGCUUACUGCAGCCUCAACCUCCUGGCCUCAAGUGAUCCUCCCACCUCAUUCUCCCAAGUAGCUGGGACUACAGACAUGAGCCACCAUGCCUGGCUAAUUUUAAAAUUUCUUGUAGAGAUAGUGUCUGACUACGUUGCCCAGGCUGGUCUUAAACUCCUGUCCUCAGGUGAUCCUCUCACCUUGGCUUCCCAAGGUGCCGGGAUUAUAGCUGUGAGCCACUGCACCCACCCGCCAUGGCAGUUUUGAGGCAAGCGGUGAUGUGGUCUGGCUUAUUUUAACAGGAUCUCUCUAUUUUAAGAAUAGACUGGCUGGGCACGGUGGUUCACAUCUGUAAUCCCAGCACUUUGGGAGGCCAAUGCGGGUAGAUCACCUGAGGUCGAGAUCAGCCUGGCCAAAAUGGCAAAACCCCGUCUCUACUAAAAAUACAAAACUUAGCCAGGUGUAGUGGUGUUUGCCUGUAAUCCCAGCUACUUGGGAGGCUGAGGCAGGAGAAUACCUCAAAUCCGGGAGGCAGAGAUUGCAGUGAGCCGAGAUCACGCCACUCCACUCCAGCCUGGGCAACAAAGUGAGACUCCAUCUCAAAAAAAAUAAAAAGAAUAGAGUGAAAGAUAGAGUGAAAGGGAGGGCAAGAAUGGAAACAGUGAAACUAGCAAUGAAGGCAUUCUAAUAAUCUGGAUGACAAAUGAUGAGGGGUUGAGCCAGGGAGCUGACAGAGGAGCUGGAAUUUAUCUAGUGGGAUUCUACAUCCAUGUUGAAGGUACAAUAGACAGGAUUUGCUCUAGACUAGAUACAUGAGGGAGCAGUCAGGGAUGACUCCGAGGUUUCUGGCCUAAGCCAAUAAAUGCUGGACUCUCCUUUACCAGAACUGAGAAGACUGUGGGAGGAAGACAAGGUACUCAGUUUGUGUUAUAGUAAGUUUAAGAUGCCUUUUGGAUGUUCCAGUGGAAUUGUCAAGUAAGUAGCUGGAUAUGGAAAGCAAGAGCUGGGAAAGGUCUAAGUUUGAGAUACAUAUGUGGGUGUCAGCAUCGUAGGGCCAUAGCACUGGACGACAUCACUGAGACAAGGGAUGCAGAUGGGAAAGAGAAAAUGUAACUCAUACCAUGCUUAUUGCUUACCCCAUCCCACAGAUGACCUCUCCAGUGGGCUUUCAUCUUUUUGCAUAAUAAAAUCUAAAGUUCUUACCAUGUCAAUGUUUCCAGAGCACUAGUCUUACCAAUUUUCUCCUGGCCUAUCAGCUAUUAAUAUCAUUGCACUAUCCUUUCCUUUCUUCUGGCCGAGCCAGCUCAUUCAGCCCUGGGGUCUUUGUCUGCAGUCUCCUCUGCCUGGAAUACUCAUAGACUUUUGCAUGGCUUGCUGGUUAACUUUAUUCAUAGCUUGGUCCAAAUAUGAGCACUGCAGGGACCUUCCCCAACUCCUUUAACCAAACAGCUCCCCAUUCAUCUUGUGUCCAUGACCCUGUUUUAUUUUCUUUCUACCUAUAAAUUUGUAUGUUUAGUGUUUGUCUUCUUUGGUGAAACUGUAAGCUUCCACUAGGGCACGGAAAUUGUCUUACCGUUGAGCAAAGCCUGACAUCAUAGAAACUCAAAUAUGUGUUAAAUUUAAUGAGUAAAUAAGGGAGGUACAAUAAUUUUCUGCUAUUUACAUUCUGCAUUUUCUACCCAAAAGCCUAGCAAUGUACCCCAUAAACACUCAGUUUAGGAGAAGGCUUUGGGCUCAGUCACAGGCUUCAACACUAGACAUGCAGGCAGUAACAGAGGGGACUUGGGAACCAGAGAGUGCACCUUCCAGACAAGGAGGGCAAGAUAAAACAUUCCUGAGUUUGGGCAGUUUUAUAUGACGAUCAGGAUAGACAACUAUAAAAUAAAGUGAGAUGAGACGGGAGGAACAGGCAAUGGUUAGACAGUCCCUUUCCAGUUCCUUGUCUGCCCUAUCUUUGCAGGUGAAGGGGCUUCUCUUGGGUGUUUGGCAAGGCAAGUUUUGGUCUGAUUCUGCAUGGGUGAAGAUACGAACACCAGGAUGGAAGACUUUACAGGGAUAUCCAAGUUGCAGCCAAACAAAGUCUCACUCUGUCGCCCAGGCUGGAGUGCAAUGGCAUGAUCUCAGCUCAUUGCAACCUCUGCCUCCUGGGUUCAAGCGAUUCUCCUGCCUCAGUCUCCUGAGUAGCUGGGAUUACAGGCACCCUCCACCACGCCCGGCUAAUUUUUUGUAUUUUUAGUAGAGACAGUGUUUCACCGUGUUAGCCAGGAUGGUCUCGAUCUCCUGACCUCCUGAUCUGCCCGCCUUGGCCUCCCAAAGUGCUGGGAUUACAGGCGUGAGCCACCGCGCCCGGCCUUCUUUAUUUUUUUGAGACAGAGUCUUGCUCUGUUGCCCAGGCUAAAGUGCAGUGAGUCCAAUCUUGGCUCACUGCAACCUCCGCCUCCUUGGUUAAAGGGAUUCUCCCGCCUCAGCCUCCUGAGUAGCUGGGACUAUAGGCGUGCACCACCACAACCUGAUAAUUUUUGUAUUUUUAGUAGAGAUGGGGUUUCCCUAUGUUGACCAGGCUGGUAUCGACCUCCU
rnacentral:lncRNA from 10 species